GAUUGUUAUUGGAAUGGAAUAUUAAUGGAAUUGAGAAGAAAACCACAUAUUUGGUUCCUAAACCUGUAUUUAUUGAGCUAAUACAAAUGUGGGGCAAAGAGGAUAUUUGCCAGUGAGAUUUGGUGAGUGAUAAGGAAGAGUGCUUAAACUUUCUUAUACAGUACUAACCACUUCUCUCCUGCAAAUGGUUCUCCCGCCUAUCUUCCCCUCAGCUGAACUUACUGCUUCGGAGCCCAGGUGGGUGAAGAAACAAUUCAAAUCACUGGAAAGGGCAUUUGUAGGGGAGAAUCAGCAGCUGGAGAACUCCUUCCACUGCUGUUUCCUUUUAAGUUCCACCAGCCCUCAUAUUUCCCUUGUAAGGAAAACACGGAGUUGGGGACACCAUAUUUUCAUCAUGUGGUUCCACCUAAAUAAGGAAUUCAUGAUCUAGGCUGCAGUAUUUCUAUUUUGUUUUGCUGUGGUAUUAGGCAGUCUCCUGACAUAAUAUGUUAUCCAACCCAAGUUAAACACAUUUAAAGUCUAAUUGAUUUCAAUAAAAGCGAAAACCACAUUCUUAAUUAUCUUCUACAAGUUAUUAUCUUUCAUUUGCUUCUGCUAAUAAUUGUAUUUUUACUCUAGCACAGCCCCUCCCAACCUUGUGCCCUCCAGUUGUUCUGGAUUACAACUCUCAUCAGCCCUCAGUCCAAAACAUCUGGAGGACACUCAAUUGGGGAAGGCUGCAUGAAUCAUUAUUAUUUGUCUGGUUCUCUUUCAUUCCCAUCGUCGUGUAUUGGUCUUUAAUAACCAGUGUGAUAUUUUUAUUACUCCUUUUUGAAGAGGAGCCCUCACAGCUGGGAUUUUGUUAAGUUUGCUUGACAACCAUACUACAAGGCUCCCUGAUAUUUUGUGCUGCCAUUAAUUUAAAAAAGCAGGUUAUGAUGCUGUGCAAGAUUUCUGCUGUUUGGUGGAAUCCAACAAAAGGCAGAAAUGGGUUUACUGGAUUGAGGCCAAGGUGACUGGUUUGUCCUCUGUCAACACUUUCAUAUUAGACAACAAGAUCAACAUGCCAUGCUAAGAAUCUGAACUCUAAUUUUGGAGAACAUUAUUGUGAAUUUGGAAAUGAUUGAAACCUCAUAUCUGAACAUCACUGGAUGGAUGGCUGCUUUUAUGGUGUGAACUGUCCCUUCUUUUCACUUUGGGGUUUUUCUUCCUAAGCAAAUUAAGUGCAGAUCUCCAACGCUGUAGGGCUGAUUAGAAGUACCGUAAUUGUUAUGAGCAUUUUAAUAGAAUCCAACCUUCUAAGAUUUAUGGCAGUCAAUAGACAAUGUUGAGGGAGACAAAUGUUCUUUGAGGUUUUGUCUGUCACUGCUUAGACUCCCUCAUGGUCUCUGUCUCUGUCUUUCUGUCCCAACUUCACAGAAGGAUGGACUAGCAAACCUGCCCUCCACUCUCUCUUAACAUCUGGCCUUUAUAUUGAGCACUGGUCUUUGAAGAGAGUGAAAAAGAAUUAAAUAGCAAAGGCAUAAAAACAAACGUUUCUGAGCCCACUUCACAGAAUACAUCUAUAUUUUUUGUGUCUUUUUGUUUACUUUGUUCUCACACAGUUCUCUGUAAGGAAAUCCAAGUCUGCAAGUUAUCCUCAUGUCCCAGAAAGCCCAAUGACAGAUGAUCCACUGUGCUUUAAUACAGAUGUGAGAGCACGUCUUAAGAAAAUAGCUCCUGUAUGCUUGGGGAAUGUGUGAAGGGCACUCAAGUAAAUUCUGCUUGGAUAUAGCCACGUUAUGCACUACACUGAGUGAGGUGGCAGAAUUACAGAUUGUACCACCAUACCAGUGUUCAACAGCCUGGUGCUUCUAGAUGGUUUGGGUUUUAUAAUUCUCAUCAACCUCAGCCAGCACAUUGCAUGACUGUUGUUUGGAGGGCACAAGAUUGGUGAAGGGUGAACCACGCAAUGUUAAACCUUUUUCACAUUGUGCUAAUUAAAGCCUGUUGACUAUUAAAGCUCUAUGAUGGAUUUAGGGGUUGUUAUUAUUUCUGUAUAGACCAUAGCUUUUUUAUAUUAAAAAAACCAUCAUGGUGUGUUUAGAACAUAAUCAACCACUUCAACCAUAAUAUACCACUUUUUUGGGGGAGGGGGAUUUGUAGAAUGCUGGUUUUUUUUGCAAAAUCUCAAAAAACAUUCUGACAGCUGAAUCCUGGCAUAUGGCAGCUCUAACCAGAAGCAAUGCAGUUCAGAAUUCAGGCAUGGUUAGGAUUGUACUGUUGUUAGUCCGCCACCUCAUCAGAGCAUAAGACAAGACCUGCUGAAUUGGUUCAAAAGUUCCUCUAAUUUAGUACCCUGUUCCCAACAGUGAUCAGUCAGAUUCUUCUGGAAAGGGCCUUCACAUCCCCCUUAGUUUUUUUGUAUUCAGCAGUACAAAUGGGGACGUACAAAAAACCAAAGUUCACUGUUUUAAUUUGUAUGCAUUCUCCUCCUAAAUAUUUUUUUAAAAAAUUUAAACAUUAAUUAGUGUGCCAAAAACUCAUCUUCCUAAAUAUACAUAUAUAAUGCUUUGCUAUGUUGCGUGUUCAUGUUCAGGGGAAUUAUUUUAAAUUGACGCCCGCAGAUAAAAACAAGACUACUGUUACACUGGUAAAUAUCCUGGAGGAAAUAAUAUGCAGGAGGAUUUUGGAAAGAUCUUGGACAUUCGGCUACCAGCACCCUGACCAUGGACUAUGCUGUCUGGGACUGAUGGGAAUAUGAAAACAUUUGGAGGGCCACAGGACAGCUGACAACAUCUGGAGGGCCACAGCACUGAUCAAAAGUUCCUCUAAUUUGGUAUCCCGUUCCCAACAGUGAUCAGUCCCUGUCUUAAAGGGACCACUUUUCUCACUUGUGAAUUGUUUCACUGAGCGACAAAGCAAUAUUGGCACACACUUAUCAAAUUAUGUAUAUUAUUCAGGUGCCUGAAUAAUUUGACCAUGGGUACUAUAUGCAAUUUUCUGUUCUUCCUCAGGCAAUAAGGUGUCUUGAGCCAGCCCUGAACCUUCAGUAUUCUCUUUAAGUCAUGCAGAUAAAGGUGAUUUCUUUUACAGUGCAUCUAUGCAUAUAGAUGCCUUUUGAUAUCCUCUCUUCUUCAGUUUUUCAAUACGGGGGUUCUAUUUUGGUAUAAGCCAGGGGUAGGCAACCUAAGGCCCGGGGGCCGGAUCCGGCCCAAUUGCCUUCUAAAUCUGGCCUGUGGAUGGUCCGGGAAUCAGCGUGUUUUUGCAUGAAUAGAAUGUGUCCUUUUAUUUUAAAUGCAUCUCUGGGAUAUUUGUGGGGCAUAGGAAUUCAUUCAUUCCCCCCCCCCCAAAUAUAGUCCAGCCCACAGGCCCAUGGUCUGAGGGACGGUGGACCGGCGCACGGCUGAAAAAGGUUGCUGACCCCUGGAUAAGCAGUCUUAUUUCCCUUGGUUAUCUUCAGCUUGCUGUACAAACAUUCUUUAUCUAUAGUUAUUUUUCUUUAUUGACAGUAUGCCAACAUUGGUUCAUUUUUUAAAAAGAAGUGUUCCCUUUCCUUCCUUCCUCAGUUUUAUUUUCCUCACAUAACUUCAUUCAAUUUUGCUUUCAGGACCGGCCUCACCAUUAAGCAGAGUGAGGCUGAGGCAGCUCCCUCAGGCAACUGAUUUUGCAUGUUAUGCAAGGGCAGAAAAAAGGUUAAUUUAUAUACUUCUUGUAUUUAUACUCCCAGAGGGGAGGGGUGGAGAGGCACCUAUGGGAUUAUCUGAUUUAGGAGCCAAAAUAACUAGACCAGCCAAAGUUACAAUGCACCUUGACUGGGAAUGUUGAAGCGACGUUUGCUGUUCUGCCUUAGGCAGAAAAGUGAUUUGGGCCUGCCCUCUCAGAAGGGAAACCAUUUCAUGUUUACUUGAAGCUAAUAAGUAGUCCAAAGAAUAUUAGUCAACUUUAAGUAAACUUGAAAUAAAGGGGGUGGGGUGGGAGAGAGAAAUCAGGUUUACUUGAAGCUAAUAAAUAAUUCAAAGACUAUUUAUAGGACUAUUUAUUUAUCAACUUCAAGUAAACUUGAAGUGUUUUUCCUUAUCCCUGAGAGGGCAGGCCCAAGUCAC